CCUACGGGAGGCAGCAGUGGGGAAUAUUGCGCAAUGGACGAAAGUCUGACGCAGCAACGCCGCGUGAGGGAUGAAGUACAUCGAGAUGUAAACCUCUUUCAGCAGGGACGAAGCGAAAGUGACGGUACCUGCAGAAGAAGCACCGGCUAACUACGUGCCAGCAGCCGCGGUAAUACGUAGGGUGCAAGCGUUGUCCGGAUUUAUUGGGCGUAAAGGGCUCGUAGGCGGUCUGUCGCGUCGGAUGUGAAAACUCGGAGCUUAACUCCGGGCCUGCAUUCGAUACGGGCAGACUAGAGUUCGGUAGGGGAGACUGGAAUUUCUGGUGUAGCGGUGGAAUGCGCAGAUAUCAGGAAGAAUACCGAUGGCGAAGGCAGGUCUCUGGGCCGAUACUGACGCUGAGGAGCGAAAGCAUGGGGAGCGAACAGGAUUAGAUACCCUGGUAGUCCAUGCCGUAAACGGUGGGCGCUAGGUGUGGGGAAUCAUCUACAUUCUCCGCGCCGCAGCUAACGCAUUAAGCGCCCCGCCUGGGGAGUACGGCCGCAAGGCUAAAACUCAAAGGAAUUGACGGGG
rnacentral:rRNA from 1 species